AACGAACGCUGGCGGCAGGCUUAACACAUGCAAGUCGAACGCCCCGCAAGGGGAGUGGCAGACGGGUGAGUAACGCGUGGGAACAUACCCUUUCCUGCGGAAUAGCUCCGGGAAACUGGAAUUAAUACCGCAUACGCCCUACGGGGGAAAGAUUUAUCGGGGAAGGAUUGGCCCGCGUUGGAUUAGCUAGUUGGUGGGGUAAAGGCCUACCAAGGCGACGAUCCAUAGCUGGUCUGAGAGGAUGAUCAGCCACAUUGGGACUGAGACACGGCCCAAACUCCUACGGGAGGCAGCAGUGGGGAAUAUUGGACAAUGGGCGCAAGCCUGAUCCAGCCAUGCCGCGUGAGUGAUGAAGGCCUUAGGGUUGUAAAGCUCUUUCACCGAUGAAGAUAAUGACGGUAGUCGGAGAAGAAGCCCCGGCUAACUUC
rnacentral:rRNA from 1 species